GAGCAGCGUUCGUGCGAAGGCAAGUCAUUUCCCGAAACACCGCAGACACACGGCCUCGGGCAGCCUAAAACCUUUGGAGACCAAAAUGGCUCGCAGGGGUUGGAAGUAAUAAGGUGUUUUUCCCUUCUUUCUCCUUCACUGAGAUUCUGCGAGGUUGCUCUGCAUGGCUGGGGAACAAUGGUGCUGUUUUUGUGUUUUCUAUGGGUAUUAAGAUCCAUUACACUGUGACAUUUUUAAGAUUGGUUAUCCUGUAGUUUGGUGUUAAAUUGAAGUUGUUUGUUUUGAAUUUAAUUCUUUCAUUUUUCAAAUGGAAAAAAGCAGCCCUGUGGAGCGGUGCAGGGCUGGCUUACUGAAGUGUGUGUGCCCCAGUCGCUUUGGAGCAGAGCUCUGUGCCAUCCCCGGACCUCGGCAGAAUUCGCCAGGAAGGAACAUGACCCAUUUCCCUACUGGAAAGUCUAAGAGGAUCCUUGGAGAUGACUUUCACAACUAGGAGCCUCAAGGCCCAGUUACGUCACUUCCUCUGCUCUAGAAUGAUUCCCUUCCUCUCCCUCCUACCUCAGCUGGAAGGAGCAGGCCAGGCACCUUGUAACCACACAGUCAAAGUUCCUUCCAGAAAACAGGCAAAGGCACACACAGGCAGGCAGUUGCUCAGAGACAAGCCUCAGGGACAUCCGCCUCCUAUCUCCCUACAACUCAGCCUCGGAAAGGGGAUGGAAGACAGGAGUUAAAAAUCAUAACAGGCUCCAUUCCUAAACUGGUUUGCAAUUAUUGAGGAGAAAGCAAGACUUCGCUUUUAAGAAAAAGGUUUCUGUUUGUGAGCUA